GAUAGAGACGUGCCCUCCACACAAAGGCAAAUGAAUUUAUAAAUUUACUAGUGUAAAUUUACAAUCUUAGAUUAUGUUCUAUAUUCCAUUAUAAAUACAUUAUAUUUUUUUUAUUAAAUUUCUUUGAAGAUUUCUAAAAAUAAAUAAAAAAUUAAUUUGUAAUUUUAAAUCAUCCCAUUAAAUGAAAUGUGUGUAUGACGUGGAAAGUCGGUCCACGAAUUUCCCUGUGUCAUUAGAAGUUCCGGUGUUUGCUUCCCAGCAACUCUCCAGGCUCCAGCAUUUUCUCCCUCACCACUUCCCCGCCUUCUCACAAUUUGGACUUGCAGGUCACGCUAGAGCACCGGCGAUUUUUUUCUUCAUGACUUUCCCUCCAUUUCCUUCCUAAUCCAAACAAGGCACACCAAUAAACCACCUUUCUAUUUCCUUCAUCAACGCACCCAACCUGUUCAUGGAAGAUAAGCGAAUCGAGGAGGAACUCACCUACCUGAUCCUACUCGCUGAGCGACUACGUUCCGCCGUUGAGGAGGCCGACUCUUUUCAGGUAGAAUGUACUAGCAUAGGCAAUUACGCUGAUAUUCUCGCUGCGAAGCUGCGGUUUCUUGUACGCUUCACCUGCUCUGCUCAAUCGUUGUAUGAGCGCCCUGUUCGUCGGAUUGGCGCUGAGGUUUUCAAAAAUCUCGAUCGUGCGCUAACCUUAGUACGUAAGUGUAGGCGUCGGAGUGUCUUGCGCCGGGUUGUCACGAUCAUUGGCGCGGCUGAUUUCAGGAAAGUGCAAAAUCUCCUUGAAGUUUCUGUUGGUGACGUGAAAUGGCUCGAGAAUAUCUUAGGUUUCAGUAGUGGCGCCGCUGGUGAGGAUGUUGGUAUUGAUCUUUCUCUUCCGCCAAUUGCUAGUAACGAUCCCAUUCUCGCUUGGGUUUGGUCCUCUAUCGCUUCUAUUCAUCUCCGUCCAUUCCAUGAAAAAAUCGAAGCAGCUAAUCAACUUGAACAGCUUGCCCAGGAUAAUGAUCGAAACAAGCAAAUUAUAGUGGAGGAAGGUGGCGUUCCGCAGCUGUUGAAGCUUUUACAGGAGACUGCUUCGCCGGAGGCCCAAAUUGCGGGUGCCACCGCACUUCUUUACUUGGCUAAUGAUCAGGAGAGGGUAACGACUAUUGUGAAUGAACAAGGGGUUCCAAUUGUUGCCAAGGUUCUGGCGGAUUCUCCAAUGAGGGUUCAGACUCUCACGGCCAGUUUGGUGGCAAAGAUGGCAGAGCAUGAUUCCGUUGCGCAGAAUGAUUUCGCGAGAGAGAAUGCAAUUCGACCGCUUGUCUCGCUGCUGUCCUUCGAGACUUUCUCCGAUGACCAAAGGGUUCAACUGGAUAAGCACAGUAUUCAUUCUAUUGUUCAGAUUAAGAAAGAAAUGGAAAAAUUUUCGAAUAAUGGGUCGAAGAAUAACAACCAGUAUAGACCAUAUAUGACUUCGUUUUCGAGUUUUCAUUCAGAGGGGAGUACUAGGGGAGGAAAUAGGAAAGAGAGGGAAAACGAGAAGCCUGAAGUGAAGCUUAAGUUGAAAAUUAGUUGUGCAGAGGCUUUGUGGAUGCUUGCUAGGGGAAGUGUCUCGAAUAGUAAGAGGAUAACAGAGACUAAAGGAUUGCUUUGUUUGGCGAAGUUGGUUGAGAAGGGAGAAGGAAAAUUGAAAUUUAAUUGCUUGAUGACUAUAAAGGAGAUAGCUGCGGCGGCUGAAUCUAAUGCUGACCUUAGACGUGCAGCUUUUAAGACUAAUUCCCCAGCUGCCAAGGCAGUUGUUGAUCAGCUCUUGAAGGUGAUCAAAGAAUCGGACAGUCCGAAAUUGCAAAUUCCUGCCAUAAUAUCGAUUGGUUCAUUGGCUAGGACAUUUCCUGCUAGAGAUACUCGAGUUAUUGGUCCAUUAGUUGCCCAGCUUAAUAAAAGUAGGAUCCAAGAAGUGACAACAGAAGCUGCCAUUGCACUGGGAAAGUUCACUUGUCCAGAGAAUUUUCUGCGUGCUGCACAUUCGAAGGCAAUAGUGGAGUUCAAUGGUGUACCACAUUUGAUGAGAUUGCUGAGAUUGCUGAGAGGGAAUGAAAGGGCACAGUUGCAGGGAUUGAUUCUCCUUUGCUAUCUUGUAUUACAUGCUGGAAACCAUGAGGCUCUGGAACAAGGUAGGGUGUUGACUGCCCUUGAGGAGGCAGAUCGGACGGUGGUUGCUCAACAUCCUGAAUUGAGAGAGUUGGUGUCCAAGGCUAUUUACCAUAUCAAUCUCUAUCACACCAGCGCCCAUUCUCAAAGAUUUUCAUUUGUGCCUUGACACCUCAUUGGACUUGAUCAUUAUUGGAUUUAUUCUGAUUUUGCAUGUUUGAGACAAUUAAUUAGCCCAUUCUCUGCAAGUGCUAGACAUUGACAAUCAGAAGUCUGAAGCAUCGUAGUUGUGGAUACAUUGACAUGUAGGCCUCCCUGCAUCUUUCACUCUGGGUAGAUCCAUGAGACGACGUGCACUUUGUAUGGCACUGAUUAUAACAAGUUUUAUUGAUUUUCACACGCGCAGAAGAGGCUUCCCACGGCCAGUUCCAUGCUUCUCCAACCUCAGCGCAUACAAACAUGACAAGCACAAUAUUGGUAGUUUGCUUCUCGCCAUUUUUUCUUUCUUUUGCUUUGUCUUGGUUUUCUGCGAUGGGUUGAAUGCAAUUGGCAGAGGAUAAUCUGCUUAAGGGUGGGUUUCUAUGGGAGUCGAUAUCUAUAAAAACCUGUGCAUUGCCAAA